AUUUUUUUUUAUUUAUUGUUAGAUAUUGCAUAUCGCUUGAGGAGAAUUUUAUUAUUGAUAAAAGUUAGAAAAGAAAGGUAGAGGGUGUUUUUAUUUUGUUGUUUCAAAGUGAUAAUUAUUUUGCUCUAGGGUUGAUAAGUCGACUUUUUUGUUAUCUGAUUUUUGUUUUUUACUAGAAAGUUGUAAUUUUUGUUUUUGUUUUAUUUUUUUUUUAGAAUUUGAAGUGUUUUUUUGAUUGGUUUUAUAACUGUAUUAUUUUUUGAGGGGUUGUUUUUUUUUUAAUUUAUUUAUCUUUAAGUAAAUUUUUUAUUUUGAGAUUAGUAGAUUUUUUUUUUGUGUUUUUUUGUUGAAUUUAAUUGAAUAAUUAAGAUUUUGAUCAAAUGUUUUUUAAAGACUUAGGUUUUAUAUUAAAGCUUGCUUCUGCCCAGUGUGGUUAUAAAUGGCAGUCUUAGCGUGAGGACAUUAAGGUAGCAAAAUAAUUUGUAUCUUUAUUGGGUUCUAGUAUGAAUGGAGUUAUUGGUUGGUUCUUUUUUUUUUCUUUGUUUGAAUUUAGGUUUUCUAUAAGAAAUUAUAGUUGUAGAAGUGCAAAGAUAAGUCUUCGGAAAUUCUUUUCUUUCUUUAUAUUUUUGUAGAGUUAGAUGUUUUCUAGGGUAGAAAUUUUUAUAUUUUUGUUUUCUAAUUUUAAAAUUGGGAAUUACUUCGGAGUUAACAGAAAAUCAUACUUAAUCUAGUUCUUAUAGUAGAGUAAGUUUUACAUCGAUGUUGUAUUUAAGUAUAUUAGUGAGGAGAAGAUUUAAUUUUUUAGACUGUUCUUCUUUUAAUUAACUUAACGUGAUAUUAGUUUAAUUCAUCGUGAGAUAGAAUUGUUUAUCUUGAUUUUUAUUUUUUUUUGUUUUGUUAGUACGAAAGGAAAAUUAUAGAGAUUUUAAAUCUUAUGAAGAAUGUUGGUUUCUUUUGUUUUU
rnacentral:rRNA from 1 species